AUCUGCCAAAGUUUUUGCUAAUAUUCUACUUUGCUAAUUUAAAUAUCUCCCAUUUUAAUGCUUUUUUUUGCGGGGUCUCAUUUUAAUGCUUAAUCACCCCUAGUCCCAAUUUCUCAUAAAAGUUCUUUCAUUUACCUCGAUGUAAUGACUGAAAAUCAGCCACUUAUGGCAGCUAAAAAUGGUAGAAACUACGAGGUCGACGAGAAGAGAACGGACACCACAGUUCCUAAAUACAGGGAAGAUUAAGAAAGAAAUCCUAGGAUCGGGGAACAGCUACAAAUACAUAUCCCUGUUCUUUUUUUGUCUCUUAUAUUAUUUUAUCAUAAAUAUAUCAUUUAUCUUUCUUCUUCCAUACACUCGUCCUGAAAAAAAACAUUUUUCUAUAAUUUGUUUCUACUGAAGAGAAAGCUAAAGUAGGGAGCGAAGGAGCAGAGAAAAAGAAGGGAGAAACAGCCUCACCAACCCUGAAAAGGAAAAUCAAGUUUCUUUUUUCUCUGAGUGGAAAAAGGGGAAAUCAAGUAGAAACUGAAGUUGUUGGCGAGGUAACUUUGGUGUGCCCCACAGCCUCUCGCCCACUGAAUUACUAAAAUCCGUGGGAUUUCGUCUUUGUUCGACCUAUCCAGUUGGAUAUGCGGAGGUGUUCGCACUGUCUUGCUUGCACACAUAUAACCUUGCCUCCGCACCGCUCAUUACGACAUUGUUCUUCCCAUCCACUCAUUAAAACUUGGUAAGGCUCCAGUGGUUCUAAAAUGAUCGGAUGGACACUACGAAAGAACAGUGUCGUGCUCACAAAAGCAGCUGCGGGUCACUUAUGGUUGAAUGGAUUUCCGGCGAUGCGCAUUUAAUGGGAGGAGGUGUUUCCGUCGACGACGAAGUGUCUACGGUGACUUUGUAAAUUUCAACAUGAUAUGCCGGUUCAGUCUUUCGGAGGUGCUAAUAGGGAUGAAUGUAUACGCGUGUAUAUGAGCGCUUGCGUCUGUACUGCGUUAAAAAAAUACAUUUUUUGUGCCUUGGAAAACAGAAGCCUGGAACAUCUUCGGUUAAGUUUCAGGCUUGCUUAUGGGCUUGGACAAGCAAGAGUGCCUAAUUUUGCUCCUGACAGGAGGAAAGGGAUGGGAUGAUUAUAGGAAUAAACUGUAGGAUACAUGCAUGUGUUGGAGAAGGGACGGACGGUGUUAUAAAAGAACAAAUGUGUUUUGGCACAAUGUAAUGUGUUUUUGUUUUACUUUAACAGUUACGUAUAAAAGAACAAAUGUGUUUUGGCA